AGAGUUUGAUCCUGGCUCAGGAUGAACGCUAGCUACAGGCUUAACACAUGCAAGUCGAGGGGCAGCAUGAAAGUUUGCUUGCAAACUUUUGAUGGCGACCGGCGCACGGGUGAGUAACACGUAUCCAACCUGCCUCAUACUCGGGGAUAGCCUUUCGAAAGAAAGAUUAAUACCCGAUGUCAUAGUCCUACCGCAUGAUGGGAUUAUUAAAGAAUUUCGGUAUGGGAUGGGGAUGCGUUCCAUUAGUUAGUUGGCGGGGUAACGGCCCACCAAGACAACGAUGGAUAGGGGUUCUGAGAGGAAGGUCCCCCACAUUGGAACUGAGACACGGUCCAAACUCCUACGGGAGGCAGCAGUGAGGAAUAUUGGUCAAUGGACGAGAGUCUGAACCAGCCAAGUAGCGUGAAGGAUGACUGCCCUAUGGGUUGUAAACUUCUUUUAUAUGGGAAUAAAAUGUUCCACGUGUGGGAUUUUGUAUGUACCAUAUGAAUAAGGAUCGGCUAACUCCGUGCCAGCAGCCGCGGUAAUACGGAGGAUCCGAGCGUUAUCCGGAUUUAUUGGGUUUAAAGGGAGCGUAGGUGGAUUGUUAAGUCAGUUGUGAAAGUUUGCGGCUCAACCGUAAAAUUGCAGUUGAAACUGGCAGUCUUGAGUACAGUAGAGGUGGGCGGAAUUCGUGGUGUAGCGGUGAAAUGCUUAGAUAUCACGAAGAACUCCGAUUGCGAAGGCAGCUCACUGGACUGCAACUGACACUGAGGCUCGAAAGUGUGGGUAUCAAACAGGAUUAGAUACCCUGGUAGUCCACACAGUAAACGAUGAAUACUCGCUGUUU
rnacentral:rRNA from 1 species